GAAUGAAAGACCCGCUCGAAAUGCCCCUGAGCCCCCUGCCCCGAAGCUGCCGGGGCCUCCCAAGCCUUCACCCCGGCAGGGCUCGCGCCCCCGGCCCGCCCCGCCUGGCACCGAGCCUCGGGGCUGGGGCCGAGCAACGAGCACCAGAUGGGCAGGCCCGAGAACGAGCACCAGGUAGGCUGGGGCCGAGCAACGAGCACCAGGUGGGCCGGCACGAGGGCGAGCACCAGGUGGGCCGGCACGAGAAUGAACACCAAGUGAGCCGGC
rnacentral:lncRNA from 1 species